CUUUCGACCUUUUUAUACCCCUUUCUGUCAGCUGGCAGAUUGAAAGACAAUUGUUGAAUGCAAUGUUGAUAUUGGGAUUUUUUACGGUUUUAAUUACAAAUUAAUCCUUGUUUAAUUUAGAUUCUCAUAUGUUGUGUUACUGUCUAUGUUAUCUACCAUCCAAAGGCAAGAAUCAACUAGUGAUGGAAAUUGGUGAAAAACUCACUUCAACUGCUUUCGACUUCAACAUAUUGUUCAGCUGUAAAUGAUUGACCAAUACUUGAAACAACAAUUCUGAUCACUGGUAGCAACUGUCAUCAUUGAAAGGAUGUUAUUACACAUAUCCAGAUGUAUUGGCUAAUAAAUCGGACGAGCCUAAGGUUGAGUCGACAAAAAGGUCCUGAUGUUUCCAUUGAACUACCAUCAUUGCCAGCCUACCUGUUCGAAUCCAUUUAAAGAUUGUUCACUCUUUUACCAAACAAUUUCCCUUGAUAACCAUGUGGUUAACUAAUUUGAAUGUCAAGCGUCUUCCAGCCGUUUCAAGAUAUCGAAGGACAACAAUUCGUCACAUUCAUAGGAACUCAAAAGGUUAUUGGAAUAGAUAAGCAAAUAACAGGAACACCGACCACAUUUCUUUCCAAAUCAAAGGAACUACCAAAUUAUGGGAGAUUCAGGCUAUAUCUUUGGAAACCCAACGGAAGUGCUCUGUCAAUUUAUUUAGUUUGAUCUUCCAGUCAAUCAAUUAUUGAAACAUUACCUUUAAAAUUAUCUGUAAAAAGAGGCUGAUUGGUUGAGCCAAUUUUACUGGUUUGAAUCAGACAGGUAACGGAAGAAACAGAUUGACUUCAAGAGACAUCAUUUUGUAAAUGUUGGUUUCAUUACUGGCAAAAGUUCAUUUGAACUCCUAAAUUUGGUUUCGGACAACUUAAGCUUCCUCGAUUUUGAAACGUAAUUUAAUACGAAAGACUUGAAUUGUAACAUUUUCAAAUCAAUUCAUUGUAUUGGAAAGAUAUAAUCUCACAAAGAAUGGCCCAAAGAUUGUGACCUGCAAAUAAUCAAAAAUCUUCAGGUUAAUGGGGGAGUAAAAGUGAGAAAAAAUUUACAACUAAAAAGGAAAGAAAAAAAACAAUAAAAAAGAAGAAGAAAAAAGUUUAAUGAUUAUUAAUCUUAAUUGUUGCUUUCCUCAUUCACUCUAAUUUGAUUCGAUUAUAAUUGUUGUCAGUCUUUUGGUU